AAUAUAUUGGCAAACACAAGCUUUUCUGCCCUACAAUGAAACAUUAAAUGCAUAAACAACAGCACUCUGGAAAUGCCCUUAUGUGUGGGAUUUGCAUUACGCCAUGAAUGUAUCCUUUAAAGACCAGCCAGAUCCCAGAGCACGACAGUGAGCUGUGAUGAAUGUCGCCAAUCAGUGCUCCAGCUGCAGCCUCCCUGCCAGAUGCCUCCUUGAAGAUGCAGCUGCUGAGCUGGUGGCUUGAGACUUUUCCACCCG
rnacentral:lncRNA from 10 species